AUCAUCAGUAGUGGUUAAUACUAUCUCAAGAUAAUAUUAAUUACCAAAAUUUUUAUAGGAACCGAAUGAUUCGAUGAUCUGUGUAUUUCAAAAUGGAGUUUGUGGCCUGUGGUUUGGGAAAUUUUCCUUUUCCGCAGGUUUGGGGCUCUGUUAAAGUUGAUACUGGUACGGGAUCUAUCGAAUCAAGUCAACAACCCAUAGCUGAAUGAGUUUUGACCGUCCCCAAACAGGUCGGCCACAAAACGCAUUUCGUUUCCGGUUUCUUAGAUUAAAUUUUCACUGCUAUGAGGAGGUGCGUGCAACAUUUGUUGUGCGUAAGAGCAUGUCUUCCAGAGGAGCGUGUAGUGCGCUCUGAGAGUUUGGAAUUUUGUCCGUUGUGCCCUUCCUCAUGCCAGAACAUUG
rnacentral:snoRNA from 1 species